AGAGUUUGAUCCUGGCUCAGGAUGAACGCUGGCGGCGUGCCUAACACAUGCAAGUCGAGCGAUUCUCUUCGGAGAAGAGCGGCGGACGGGUGAGUAACGCGUGGGUAACCUGCCCUGUACACACGGAUAACAUACCGAAAGGUAUGCUAAUGCGAGAUAAUAUACUUUUAUCGCAUGGUAGAAGUAUCAAAGCUCCGGCGGUACAGGAUGGACCCGCAUCUGAUUAGCUAGUUGGUAAGGUAACGGCUUACCAAGGCGACGAUCAGUAGCCGACCUGAGAGGGUGAUCGGCCACAUUGGAACUGAGACACGGUCCAAACUCCUACGGGAGGCAGCAGUGGGGAAUAUUGCACAAUGGGCGAAAGCCUGAUGCAGCAACGCCGCGUGAGCGAUGAAGGCCUUCGGGUCGUAAAGCUCUGUCCUCAAGGAAGAUAAUGACGGUACUUGAGGAGGAAGCCCCGGCUAACUACGUGCCAGCAGCCGCGGUAAUACGUAGGGGGCUAGCGUUAUCCGGAAUUACUGGGCGUAAAGGGUGCGUAGGUGGUUUCUUAAGUCAGAGGUGAAAGGCUACGGCUCAACCGUAGUAAGCCUUUGAAACUGGGAAACUUGAGUGCAGGAGAGGAGAGUGGAAUUCCUAGUGUAGCGGUGAAAUGCGUAGAUAUUAGGAGGAACACCAGUUGCGAAGGCGGCUCUCUGGACUGUAACUGACACUGAGGCACGAAAGCGUGGGGAGCAAACAGGAUUAGGUACCCUGGUAGUCCACGCCGUAAACGAUGAGUACUAGCUGUCGGAGGUUACCCCCUUCGGUGGCGCAGCUAACGCAUUAAGUACUCCGCCUGGGAAGUACGCUCGCAAGAGUGAAACUCAAAGGAAUUGACGGGGACCCGCACAAGUAGCGGAGCAUGUGGUUUAAUUCGAAGCAACGCGAAGAACCUUACCUAAGCUUGACAUCCUUUUGACCGAUGCCUAAUCGCAUCUUUCCCUUCGGGGACAGAAGUGACAGGUGGUGCAUGGUUGUCGUCAGCUCGUGUCGUGAGAUGUUGGGUUAAGUCCCGCAACGAGCGCAACCCUUGCCUUUAGUUGCCAGCAUUAAGUUGGGCACUCUAGAGGGACUGCCAGGGAUAACCUGGAGGAAGGUGGGGAUGACGUCAAAUCAUCAUGCCCCUUAUGCUUAGGGCUACACACGUGCUACAAUGGGUGGUACAGAGGGCAGCCAAGUCGUGAGGCGGAGCUAAUCCCUUAAAGCCAUUCUCAGUUCGGAUUGUAGGCUGAAACUCGCCUACAUGAAGCUGGAGUUACUAGUAAUCGCAGAUCAGAAUGCUGCGGUGAAUGCGUUCCCGGGUCUUGUACACACCGCCCGUCACACCACGGGAGUUGGGGGCGCCCGAAGCCGGAUUGCUAACCUUUUGGAAGCGUCCGUCGAAGGUGAAAUCAAUAACUGGGGAGAAGUCGUAACAAGGUA
rnacentral:rRNA from 1 species